CACACUCCUACACCCGCCAGGCCAGAUGGCCCAGCGCCACACGCACAGCCAUGUCCCUGCCACCUCUGCCCGGCCACGGUGUCAGGAAGUUUGUAAAGGGGCAAUCUGGUGCCGCCAGCCAGUGUUUCUCUGUGAAGCAGAGCAAACCGUCUCUGAACCAGAGAGAGCGCGCUUCGGGGACCUGAGGAUUCACACAUAUGGGAUUGUAACAAAAGGAAAACUAUUAACUGAAGGAUAACAAACACAGAGAAACAUACACAAAUCCCAAGUGUACAGACCGAAUAUACCUGCGUAACCUGCACUCAAGGUGAAGAAACAGAAUUUGAGCAGCUCCCCAUCCUCAUGCCGCAUCCCAGCCACCCUUCUCGUCCCACAGAGAACCACCAUCUGGCUUCCAGAAUCACAGACUGAUUUUGAACUUCAUAUAAAUGAAAUCACACAGUAUGUACUCUUUUAUGUCUGGUUUCAUUCCUCCACCAUUGUGCUUGCGAGAUUCUUUCAUGUUGGACGUGGUCCUUGUUCAUUCGCAUUGCUGUAUCAUGCUCUACUGGAUGAAUGUCCCACAGUUGAUUAACCUGUCCAUUCGGGUGGUCUCCAGCUUUUGGCUCUUUCAAAUACAGCUGUUAGGAGCGUU